CCACCUCCCGAGGCUGCCAGUGGCCCCCAGGCUAGUCUGGGUAUCUUUUUGAAAGGCUCACCCUCAAGCACAACUAGGAGC
rnacentral:pre_miRNA from 1 species